rfam:Salmo salar isolate Sally breed double haploid chromosome ssa14, whole genome shotgun sequence.
UGGCUCAGUUGGUAGAGCAUGGUGUUUGCAACGCCAGGGUUGUGGGGUCGAUUCCCAU